GACGAAGGGGGCUAGCGUUGUUCGGAAUUACUGGGCGUAAAGCGCGUGUAGGCGGUCGUGCAAGUCGGGUGUGAAAGCCCAGGGCUCAACCCUGGAAGUGCAUUCGAUACUGCGCGACUAGAGUCUCGGAGAGGGUGGUGGAACUCUCGGUGGAGAGGUGAAAUUCGUAGAUAUCGAGAAGAACACCCGUGGCGAAGGCGGCCACCUGGACGGUGACUGACGCUGAGACGCGAAAGCGUGGGGAGCAAACAGG
rnacentral:rRNA from 1 species